GUAACAUAGUGAGACCCCAUCACUACAAGAAAUAAAAAAAAUUGCAUGGUGGUAUACAACUGUAGUCCUAACUACUUGGGAAGCUGAGGUGGGACAUUUGCUUGAGGGGAGGAAGUAGGAGCUACAAUAAGCUGUGAUCAUACCACUGCACUCCAGCCUGGGCAACAGAAUGAGACCCUGUCCCAAAAAAUAAAUAAAUUCAAGAGAUCACUGGGGAGUCUUAAAUUUUUUGAACAGUGAAGUAACAUCAUAACAUCAUUAUGCUUUUUUCAGGUAUUUAGUAUUGGUUCUUUAGAAAUAUGAAUCUUCCAAUGAUAAGAAAUUGAGAGGUUCAUGAGUCCUGCAAUGAUUAGAAAUUGAGAGGUUCUUCCAUUAGAAAUUGAGAGAUUAGUUAGGAGUAUUAUAGUUCAAGUAAGACAACAAAAACUCGAAUUAGGGCAGUGAAGGAAGAAUGGAGGUAGAAUUCUCCUUCAUUAAUGGCCAACUGGAAAUGGGGAUUGAGGGAAAACAAAUAAUAGAAAUGAAGGUGUGCUUUGAUUUUGGACUUGAGUGACUAGGAUAAUGGCCACUCUAAUGAAGAAAAAUAGAAAUGUUAUGUGUGGGUUUAGUAAGGGAAUGCAAUGAACUUGGUUUUGGAUAUGUUAAACUUGAGCUAUCAUUGGAACAUUCAGGUAUAAAUAUUUAGAAAGCACUUUGAAAUAGGAGUUUAAUAGAAAAGUUGAGAGUAGCACUACAGAUACAGAUUUGAAAGUCAUCUGCAGAGAGAUGUGUCUUAGUCAUUUUCACACUGCUGGUAAAGACAUACCCAAGACUGGGUAAUUUAUGUAAAGAAAAAGAGACUUAAUGGAUUCACAAUUCCAUGUGACUGGAGAGGCCUCACAAUCAUGGUAGAAGGCAAAAGGCACAUCUUACAUUGUGUCUUUACCAUGGUAUAGGGAAUUACAGAGAACCAGUUCAGCCUGUCUAUAUGAAAGCCAAGUGAAAGGGAUUUCCCCUUAUAAACCACCAGAUUUUGUGGGACUUUUUCACUGCCAUGUGAACAGUAUGGGGGAACCACUCUCAUGAUUCAGUUGUCUCCCACCAGGUCCCUUCCACACCAUGUGGGAAUUGGGAGCUACAAUUCAAGAUGAGAUUUGGGUGGGGACACAGCCAAACCAUCUCAAGAUGAUAGCAAAAGUUUUACAUUAUGCUUUUAUUCAGUUAAUAGUUUAAUGUACAUUUAUUGAAAGGUCCAGUGUGCCAAUCAUUGUGUUAGGUGCUAGAGACAGGCAGAAGUGUAUGAGAGAUCCUUAAGGGGUGCUGCAGAGAGGUUGAAUUUUAAGGAAGGUGUGUUGGUGACAAGAUAAAGAGCCUGUGAUGAAUGCCAGAAGGACUAGUCAGAGGACUAGAGGUUAAAGUUAUGAAAGAAGAAGGGAGUCAGUACUAGGUGGAAGAUGGGCAGGGUUGGUAUAGGGUGGAAGCCUGUUAAGACCAAGGUGCAGAAGAGUCAUUGAAGGUGAGAGUAUUGUCUUGAAAGUGAAUGAACUCUGGGAAGGAGGUUAUUUAAGCAAAUUGAUUCAACUUAAAGUGAAUAGCAGAACCAGAUUCCAGGUUUUUAUAUUUGAGUUCAUUUCUCAUUGUAGUAUACCAGUAUGCCAAAUUGUGUCUUUACCAUGGUAUAAGGAACUACAGAGAACCAGUUCAGCUUGUCCAUAUUACUUAAAAUGUUUAAUUAAGAUUCUUGAAGUUGUUGAAUAAAGAGAAAAUUAAUGAGCCUCAUAACUAUCCUUAUAUUUCAUGUGACCAAUGGCAGCUUUGGCAGGCUUAAGCAUGGAGGGACAUUAGAUGGAAGCUGUUUUUCUGGACGUGUGCUGCUUUAACAAGCACCACCAGAGAACAAAAACAAAUCCUAGUGUUGCACAGGGAGCACUUUCUGGAUGGCAGGAAGAAUCUAGGUCAGCUUAACGGCAACUCCUAUUCUUUAGGUAGAUUAAUGUUUGCCCCCUGGUUUUCAGCAUGCUGCUGUACGACAUCUAGAAAGACUGUGCAUGGUUCCUUAGCACAUAUUAAUAGGGGGUCACAAAUGAAAUUGAUGUGUGGGAGCCUUUUGAUUUACAGUUGAAUAGAGAGAGUAUAGCUCAGACCUAAUAUGGCAACAUGGUGAGUUGUAGUCUGCAUUUCCUUAACUCCUUGAUGUAAAGGAUACAUCCUUGUGGACAUUUUGCAUAUUACCUUUAGGAGAUGACUGGUCUCCUAUAGGUAGGAUGACCAGAAAGUGCUCAGUUGAGCAGUAGAGCUCUGGAACCUGGGCUGGCUAGUCUGGCAUCCUUUUUCCGACUAUGCUGCCAGUGCUGUCUAAUAGAACUUUUGUGAUGAUGGAAAUAUUCCAUAUCUGUGCUGUUCAGUAUAGUAAUCACUAGUCACAUGUGACUGUAUAGUACUUGAAAUGUGGCUAGUGUGACUAAGGAGCUGAAUUUUUAGUAUUGUUUAAUUAAAUUAAUUUAUAGAUAGCCAUGUGUGGUUAUCGGCUACCAUAUAGGACAGCAUAGCUCUAGACUAAAAAACAUUUAAAAAUCCAAAUUCUCAUGCUCAUUGGUAUUUUUAACUAGUGAGAGGAGGUUGGAAGAGGGUUGAGUUAUAUUGAUAUUCACUCCAAAUUUAGUAGGUUUAUAUUGAACAUUGGACUGAGCUAUUGUGGAUUUGUGAAUUUUUCUCGACUCUUCUCUUGCUUUUCAUGUCUAAAAGCCUCUGGAAUAUCUUAAUUGUCCUUUUCUCAUUUGAAGAAUUAUCCCUUUUGGCCUUAGAUGGGUGUAGCUCAUCUAGUGCAUAGAUUAAUAGCUCUGUCUUUGUCCUUAGGAAGGUAAAUCUUGAAGGCUGCUGUCACAUGACUGUACUGCCGUAUGCCAGUUCAUUGUUAUUUUAUUUUAUUUUAUUUUUUUGUGAUGCUGAAAGUGAGUGAAAUGUGAAAAAAACAUUAUUCAUUUUAAAUAGUUUUGACUGCCAGGUUAAUGCGACUCUUAAGCGGAGCUUCAUGAGGUCUGGCCAUAGUAACUGCUUUUAACUUGAUUUAAAGUUCUUAAACAUUCUGAAUUGCUUCACCUAAUCUUUUUAUACUGAACGUACAAUUUUCAGGCUCUUUUUUAUUUUCAAAUCCAUAACUGACAGCUGCUCAACACCUCAUUCAAAUAGUUUUAAGAGUUUUAGAGAAAAGUUGGGACAGACUGGAUUACUGACAUCAGUUGGAUUGAGAUAUUGUGGAUUUAAAGAUGAUUGAGAAGGAGAGGGAAAAUAUGAAAUUAUUAUUACAUGUUCACUGUUUGCCCAAUGACAGUGAUUUGAAGCCUAAUAACUAACAAAACUGAAAGGUAGCAGAAGGACAUUUGAAUUAACUUUCAAAUUUUAAUAUAAGGAAUGAGCAUUUUCUUUGAAAAAAAAUUUUCAUGUGUAGUCCUAUUUGUUAUAUUUUAAAAAAUACUAAUGUACAGAAAUUCAUAUAUGCCCAAACCUUACUACAACCUUUUUCUUGACAUGUAUGUCCCAGAUUCUAUGAGAUUGUCAGCUCCUUAAAGGAGCUAACUCUUUAGGGGACUCCAUGAUGUCUAGUGCACAGCAAAUAUUUUCCAAACAGAAUUAACCAUUUUAGAAGAGAAACACUGUUAUAAGAUCUUCCACCUCUACUUCCAAUGACAAAUGAAAUCAUCCUGUGACUCAACUCAAGAAGGCUCUGGGGUACAGUGAAUAUAGAGAAGCUUCAGGAAAUAUUGUUUGAGAGUUAAAAUUAGUGUGACUAAAUUUUGUCUUCAUCCUUUUGAGAAAACGCAUGCAGGUCUGUGUGCAUGUUUGAGUGAGUGUAUGUCACCUACUAUGUGCUAGACACUGUGGUAAGCACUAGGUUUAUAAAGAUGAAUUAUAUAGGCUGUCUUCCCUCAAGGAACUUAGAUUUUUUUGCAGGAAACAGUAAAAAUAACAAUGCUAUGUGCCAAGAACCAUGAUAGACAUAGUUUGGGAGUGCUGUGGAAGCAAAGAAGAGGAAUGUCUAACUCACUAUGGAGACUUAGAGUCAGGAAAGACUUCUGGGGGUCUCUUGAGUUGAGUCUUGAAAGAUAAGUAGGAGAUAGCCAGAUAGACAAUAUUAGAGGAAUUUUUCCAGGUAGAGAGAUAAGGUGCAGAAAGACAAAAGCAUGGGAGAUUCUGGGAACUGCAAAUAGUUUGCUAUGGCUGAGGGGAAGAGCAAACUAUUUGCGGUUCCCAGAAGGAGCACCAAAAUGUGAAGCUGGAGAGGGUACACACAGUUGUCAAAUCGUAUAGGACCAACUUGGUAAUAAUGAGAAGUCUGGGCUUUAUUCCAUAGAGAGUGUCCAUGAGGGGAGCAGAGAGGGUGCGGAACGGAUCCAGAGGAUUAGAGACCGAUGGUAGGAGAGCAGUUAGGGAGCAGCUGUGGAAGGCCAGCUGAAAUUUUGAGGGCCAGAACCCAGGUACUUGCUAUGCAGCUUGGGAGGAAGCUGGCUUCAGGAUAUGUUUAGGAAAGUAGAAUUUCAUAACUGAUCGAGGGAGUGGGAAGAAGGGGAGUCGGGGUUAAUGGUUAGGUUCUGGCUUGGCUGCCUAAGUGGUUGAUGGGUGCAGUAACUAAGAUAGGAAGUUUAGAAGGUAGACAGUGUUGUGUUUAAUGAGGAUGGGCUUGACCCUGCAGACCCUUCACAUUCAGGUGAAGAUACCCAGUAGCACCCUGUGGUAUUCAUUUGGAGACGUGGCCAUGGAUGAGAUAUCCUAAGAAGAAUGUAUAUGGAAGAGGAAGAAAAACUAAUGACAGAACGUCAGGAACAUCAACAAUUAAAGGUAGGCAGGAGAAGAUGAACUAGUGAGAGGAGUGAAGAAGGGGCUAUCAGAGACUAGGGAAAGCCAGGAAAGUCUUUUGUUUUGGCAUCUAAGAAAGUGAGUGAGCCACAGUGUCAAAUGCUACAGGGAGGUCAGAUAAGAUAAGGGAGGCCAUCAUGGCUAUAGCACUUAGGUAUUCACAGGGGAACUCUGCCUUAUAAUUUCAGUGCAGCAGUGAAUGUAGAAACCAGAUGGCAGUGUGUUGAGCAAAUGGAAGUGCAGAAUAGGAAGCAUGACUGUAGACACGUAUUUUAAGGGCUUGACUGGGGAAAGUAAGAUGAGGGAGAGGCGUCUGGAAAUAAGGAGAUGUAGGACUUAGAGAAAUUUUACAAUAUGUAUUUUUUUGAAUUAUGGAGGUGUGAGAAGAUUUAUAUAUGUCAUAAAAUAAGAGAUAUUGCAGAGGGAGAUGAAAAAUAGAGAAGUGAGAAUUGAUCACUGACCAUCAAGGGCCACGUCGGGGCUCAGGAGGAGGCAUUUGCUGAGAGGAGUCGGGGGAGGAGACCAUUUUUUUCUUCCUAGGUGGAGAUAUCGGCAAGGCUUAAGAAAGAGGGUUGGUGUAGACAAGAUUGCACCCCACGGGGCUGAAGACAGGAGGAAAGGAGAACCUCCUUGGGAAAGUAGGAUCCCACGCUCUACCUGCUGAUGGGGAGAUGGAGCUGGGCAGGGUGGGAAACUGGGAAGAUUUGAAAUAUUCUCUGUCCACGGGAACUCAGAAAUUCUAGGGAGCACCUAGCUGAGGCUGGAAACAUCACGUUGUAGUGACCCCAGGGUGAUGAUUGUCCUCGCCUGAGCAGCAGACUGAAUGUCCCUCUUCCCAGAGACUCUGGUUCUGAGAUGUACUUGAUAUCUUCCUUCCCUUUCAGAGGGAAGGCAGGCCUCUAAUAUUGUCUAUUAUGGAAAUUUAGAGCUGAAGGGGACUUGAGAGAUCACCUAGAACUCCCUCAUCUUGUAAAUGAGGAGACCAGCUCAGAAAAGAGAAGUGACUUAUUCAAGUGGAUCCAAAGCCAGGGCUGAUCCCAGGCCUGACUUGUAGCUGAGGGUUUUCUUUUUUGUUCCCUUGCUACCUCCUUGAUAAGGAUUAUUAGUAAAUCCCAUUCAUUGUAAAAUGCUCUUAAUUUCCUAUUUUGUACACUGAAAAUUCUACACCAUUUUCUUUCUCUUCCAGUUUUUUGUUUUGUUUUGUUUUUCUUCCUUGCCGAGUUCAAGCAGAUGUAACAGUAUUCUAGGAUGCUAAAAAUAGACUUAACAUGUCUUUUCUUAAGACGAGGUGAUAUUGGAUUAGAUGAGAAUAUUAUUGGUGGGACCUGUAAAAAGGUGAAACUUAAAUACUGAAAUGUCUGGAAUUUCUGUUCUUACAGACUUUACAAUUUUAAAGAUAAGUGGAUUUAUUUACACAUUUUAAAAUUCUUUCAUUCCAUAUUUCAAGAGAAUCUACUAGGUGCCAGGAGUUAUGAUGAUGCUGCAGGAAAGAAUUCCCAUAUCUGUCCUGUUGUCUGUUGAGAAUUGAUGAUUAUAUUAAUAUUCUCUCCAUCUAGAGUAUCAAGGUUAAUAUUGGUAACUUGUGAAUGCUUCUUUGGGGUCUACAAUCCGCGUCCUUAUCCUAGACAAGAACUAAGAAGCAGAUAAUAGAAUGUCUGUUGGAUAAACACAGAUUUGGUAGGAUUGAUUUAGUUUGGAACAGGGGAACCUUAAUUAAUUAUCACUGUUUAUAAUACGUUUUUCUCCUUUGUUUCCAAGAAUGAGAAUAGUUCAGCAACACAAUUAAUAAAUAAAACAUAAAAGGUCAGUUAUGGUUGCCCUGGUAACUAUAUUUCUCAGCAAGUAUUUUGUUUGCCAUGAAAUGUGUCCAGGGUGAUUUACUGGAAAUCAGACUCUGAAUGUCAUGACUUUUUGUAUUUGAAUUUCUUAUGUACUCAUUUAGGAGUGACAAUUUUGUAGGUUUUUUGGGUUGGGUUCUGAAGUUCUAUGUGUGAUGGGGAUCCUUGUGUGUUUUUCUUUUUUUGGAAGACAAACAGGAAACUGUGAUUACAGUGAAUCUAUUUAAAUUUAAGAUGAAUUUCCAAGUCUAAAGUGAGAUUUAAAAGAGUAUUUGAAUCAUUUUUGGGACACAUGAAAUUUCUUAAAACUGGAAUAUUUUAAUGUAGAAUUUGAACAUAAGAUACUUUCUGAUUAGCGAUCAGGAAUGUGUUAAUUUAUCCUUUUGACUUAAUUCCUAUGCAAUUAGUUUUGAGUAGAAUAAAUUAUUCUUAAAAAAGUAUUAAAGAUAAAAAUCAAAAUAAUUAAGCAAUUAGAGCAGUUGCCACUUUCUAGAUGAUUUAUGGUAGUGUGAAUUAAAGUUAAGUGAAUAAUUUUUAUACGUUUAUUCUUUGACCACCAAACAAAAUCACUUCAAUCUACAGAAAGUUUUACAAAUGCACGAAUAUAUACGUAGAAAGAUGUAACUGCUGCAUUGAUUUUAAUAGCAAAAAAUAUUGGAAGCAAUCCAAAUGUCCAUCAGUAAGAGACUGGUUAAAUAAAUUAUGAUCUGCCCAUACAAUGGAAUACUUGGUAGCCAUUAAAAAGAUUGAUGUAGACCUGUAUCUGCUGAAAAGAGAAGACUUCCAGCGUGUAUCAGUAGGUGAAAAAAAGCAUACUGCAGAAUAUUGUGUAAGUAUUUUAUAUGUAAUUAAUCUAUAAUGCAUACUAUCUAAUUGGCAUAUUAAAAUUUGAAGAAUCAACAGAAAGCUCUUAACAGUGGUUAUCUCUGGAGAGUGAGAUUAUGAAGGACUUUUACUUUCUAAGUUAAAUUUGCAUAUUGUUUGAAAUUUCUGUAAUGAAUUUGGGUUACCUUGGUAAAUAGAGAAAAAGAGAAGAAACAAAGCUGUGUUUAAAGGGUCUAAAAAGAUCAGUUGAAAUGGGUGUGGUGUGUAAAUACAUUAGGCUUUACGGUAAUCUUUUAUUCACUUUUUGUUUUUGUCUAGAUACGUAGACAUUUAAAAAGGUAUUUGUAUUUAUGUCUUUUGAAACAUUAUACUGACAGAUUUUUAACUCUUUUCUAGAUAUUGACCACCUGUUUUUUCUCACAUUUCAGUUAUUUUCUCAAUGUAUCCUUUAAAUUGUCGCUUUGCAAGAUAGCUGGUUUUAUUUACAUCUUAGUGGCUAUUGAAUAUGCUUUGAUGGACUUUGCUUUUUGUUUAAAGCAUUAUUGCUGGCCCGAUUACUGAAUUGGUUUUAUUUUAAAAUUAUAUGAUCUCCAUAUACAAUACCAGGGGAUUUAGGAAUUUUAUAUACAAUUUACAGUUUGAGAGUGAAUGAUUAUUGUGAUACAUGAAAUUUCUUAAACCUAGAAUAUUUUAAUGUAAAAUCUGAACAAAGGAUACUUUCUGAUUAAUGAUCAGGAAUGCAUUAACUUGUUACCUUUUUGACUUAAUUCCUAUGCAAUUAAUUUUGAAUAGAAUGGAACCUCUUAUCCAAAACCUUUAAAAGCAUGUUUCUACCCUUUUCCCAAGGACAAGAAUAGAGUGGAAUCUGUAUUCUGCAGGAUUUCAUCUGGAUGCAGUUUUCUAGAUUCUGCUUCCAUUGUACUGAAUAUAAAGUUUUCUUUUGUUUGUGUGUGUUUGGUCCCAGUCUCUGCCUGGACCCCAGCUGUAACAACAAUCUGGAGAAGACACUUCUCUAGUGCAGCCAGUUUGUCUUUCUGCAGAGGAGUCAUCAAUGCAAAUAGGAUUAGGAAGAAAAUGCAUGUGGUCCAGCCGUUGAUUGCCAUUUUCAAUGUAUAAGCUUAGUUUGUUAGCACACAGAGUGGAGCAGAAAUCACUAUUCCAGACCCUUGCUGUGAAGUUUACUGUUUCAAUACGGUGAUGAUAAUCUGUUAGGAAAAAGCUACAAAGCAAGGUAGACCUUAGGUUACGGUGUUGACAUUGUGGAUAUAUUUUAUGGAUCUGUUAACUUAAUGCAAGUUUAGAAAACAACCUUACAUUUUUAAUUUUCUUCCCAUCUGGUUUGGUUAUAUGAAGCUGGAUAGGCAAUUCCUUUUCUUGGAAAUAACCUUUGGAUUCUUGUCCUUGGGAAGAGAAUGGAAAUAUGCUUUUAAAGAGGUUUUGGAUAAAAGGUUAUUAUACAUUGGAUAAAAUUUAAGACACCGUUUAAUUUUUUUUUUUUUUUUACCAUGACCUGUGCAACUGUAAGCACAAUAACUUAUAUGAUGUAUUUAUCCUUCACUUCAUUCUGCAUACCUUGAUUUUUUUCUUCAUUGUGCUUUCAUAUUUCAUUUCCCUUUCCUAUCAAUCCAAACCUAUGCACUAUACCUGUCCACCUUAAUCUGUGCACCAUCCUAUCCUGUCUACCCUGUGUGACCCUGCCUAUCCUGCCUGACUCUGUUCUGUACUAUUCAUUUCUAGCCUAUUUCAUUUUUUUUUUUUUUUUUUAAGAAAUGUUGUGUAGGACCCAUUACAUUUAUUUUAAGAUCUACCAUUUGAAAAUCAUUGGCACGAAGGGCUUGGAUGUUAUUAUUUCUUGAGUGUCAUCUGUCUCUUUCAGUGGACAUCAGCAUGCUGUUAACUUUCAGUUGCUAUGUGUGCCCCAUACCUUGUUUGCUGGCAUAGUAGGAUAACAAAGUUAAGUACCUCAUUAUGAGAUACAUACGGUUGUUGAUUUCUAAGCCAUGGUUCUUCCAGGAGAGUUUUUAACUAGGAAGUCUUUAUCACCCUGAUUCUCUUAUCAUUGUGUAAAUGUUGAGUAGUCUGCUUGUAUAUCGGGUGAUGCUAAUAGGGCCUGCAUUUUCUCAGUGUAGAUUAUGCCCUACAGAAUGUUAAAUUCCAGGAUCACUUUCUCCUACCACCCAGCAUGCUCCUGGCCCCCUACUGUUGCCAUCUCCUGAAGCAUGCAGAGCAAAUGCAAACCCAUUUUAACACUGCACUAAGUAACACAGGGCAGCCUCUAAGGUAAGAUAAACUUGCCUUAGAGGAAAAACAAACAA